rnacentral:rRNA from 1 species
CCUACGGGAGGCAGCAGUGGGGAAUAUUGGGCAAUGGGCACAAGCCUGACCCAGCAACGCCGCGUGAAGGAAGAAGGCUUUCGGGUUGUAAACUUCUUUUGUCAGUGAAGAGUAGAAGACGGUACCUGACGAAUAAGCCACGGCUAACUACGUGCCAGCAGCCGCGGUAAUACGUAGGUGGCAAACGUUGUCCGGAUUUACUGGGUGUAAAGGGCGUGUAGCCGGGUUGACAAGUCAGAUGUGAAAUCCUGCGGCUUAACCGCAGAACUGCAUUUGAAACUGUUGAUCUUGAGUACUGGAGAGGCAGACGGAAUUCCUAGUGUAGCGGUGAAAUGCGUAGAUAUUAGGAGGAACACCAGUGGCGAAGGCGGUCUGCUGGACAGCAACUGACGGUGAGGCGCGAAAGCGUGGGGAGCAAACAGGAUUAGAUACCCCAGUAGUC